rnacentral:lncRNA from 1 species
GAAUCGGAGGUUCCUGCAACUUUUUCUUUUAUUCUUCAAUGCCCCUUGGCAAUCAUUAUUUCGCCUGACCGUUUGAUCUCUUUUUUUUUCAUCAUCUUGAAUAUGGGUUCACCCGUGGCUGUUAGGUGAGAUGUGAACCAUGACAUGUAGUUCAAUCUACCCAGGAGACCACGAACCUCUCUUUCCAUUCUCGGUUCAGGCAUUUCUUUUUUUUUU